rnacentral:tRNA from 1 species
GCACCGGUAGUGUAGUGGCAACACGCUAUCCUUCCAAGUUAGAAUUGCGGGUUCGAUUCCCGCUCGGUGCUC